UACGUAGGGUGCGAGCGUUGUCCGGGAUUAUUGGGCGUAAAGGGCUCGUAGGCGGUUUGUCGCGUCGGGAGUGAAAAUCCAGGGCUUAACUCUGGACUGGCUUCCGAUACGGGCAGACUAGAGGUAUGCAGGGGAGAACGGAAUUCCUGGUGUAGCGGUGAAAUGCGCAGAUAUCAGGAGGAACACCGGUGGCGAAGGCGGUUCUCUGGGCAUUACCUGACGCUGAGGAGCGAAAGUGUGGGGAGCGAACAGG
rnacentral:rRNA from 1 species